UGGGGAAUAUUGGACAAUGGGCGAAAGCCUGAUCCAGCCAUGCCGCGUGUGUGAAGAAGGUCUUCGGAUUGUAACGCACUUUAAGUUGGGAGGAAGGGCAUUAACCUAAUACGUUAGUGUUUUGACGUUACCGACAGAAUAAGCCCCGGCUAACUCUGUGCCAGCAGCCGCGGUAAUACAGAGGGUGCAAGCGUUAAUCGGAAUUACUGGGCGUAAAGCGCGCGUAGGUGGUUUGUUAAGUUGGAUGUGAAAUCCCCGGGCUCAACCUGGGAACUGCAUUCAAAACUGACUGACUAGAGUAUGGUAGAGGGUGGUGGAAUUUCCUGUGUAGCGGUGAAAUGCGGAGAUAUAGGAAGGAACACCAGUGGCGAAGGCGACCACCUGGACUAAUACUGACACUGAGGUGCGAAAGCGUGGGGAGCAAACA
rnacentral:rRNA from 1 species